UACAGAGGUCCCGAGCGUUGUUCGGAUUCAUUGGGCGUAAAGGGUGUGUAGGAGGUUAGGUAAGUCGGAUGUGAAAUCUCACCGCUUAACGGUGAAAUGGCAUUCGAAACUGCCUGGCUAGAGGAUCGGAGGGGAGAGCGGAAUUCUUGGUGUAGCAGUGAAAUGCGUAGAUAUCAAGAGGAACACCGGUGGCGAAGGCGGCUCUCUGGAAGAUUCCUGACUCUGAAACACGAAAGCUAGGGGAGCAAAC
rnacentral:rRNA from 1 species